rnacentral:rRNA from 1 species
GGGUUGUGAGGUUAAGCGACUAAGCGUACACGGUGGAUGCCCUGGCAGUCAGAGGCGAUGAAGGACGUGCUAAUCUGCGAUAAGCGUCGGUAAGGUGAUAUGAACCGUUAUAACCGGCGAUUUCCGAAUGGGGAAACCCAGUGUGUUUCGACAUACUAUCAUUAACUGAAUCCAUAGGUUAAUGAGGCGAACCGGGGGAACUGAAACAUCUAAGUACCCCGAGGAAAAGAAAUCAACCGAGAUUCCCCCAGUAGCGGCGAGC